rfam:Neotoma lepida isolate 417 scaffold_456, whole genome shotgun sequence.
AAAAAACGGACCAAGGGGCCAGCCUCAGGUCCCAAAACAAUGUUAUGGGACA